AACAAUAUAAUCAAUGCUAUGCUCAAAUAGAAUGCUUAUGAUGAAUGCAAGAUCGUAUUUUCAUUAUCCAAUCUCUUGCCUAACCCGUGGGUUUGCCUACAGCUCACCAACUCAUAAUCCAAGUCAUCGGGGAGACUACUACGACACGAUGGGACCGUCCUCUGGGGAACAGCACCAACACAGUGAUGACAACUGCGGAGGUCAUCGCUUGAGAGGGAGCUACCACCCUCAAGCCAGGACUUAUAGGCGAGUAGUUAGUAGCAGUUUUGGGCAAAUAACAUUGGUAGCAGAUGAAGUGCAAGCUAUGAAGUUAUGAUACUUUUUUGGCUUCCUUUUGAAAAUAUGAUGAACUGCUAAUUUUAUUGUAACUUUUGGUAAAUGUAUAUAUGCUACAUAUGUUGGUGACCUUCACACAUAUAGUGUAUGGAUAAUUCAGAACUAUAUUUAGGGCGUGUUUGGUUCAAUGAUGGAAUUGGAAUGGAUAAUGGAAUGAGAAUGAAUUGGAAUGGUAA